GACGAACGCUGGCGGCGUGCUUAACACAUGCAAGUCGAACGGAAAGGCCCUGCUUUCAGUGUACUCGAGUGGCGAACGGGUGAGUAACACGUGCGUGAUCUGCCCUGCACUUCGGGUUAAGCCUGGGAAACUGGGUCUAAUACCUGAUAGGAGCCAUUUUUAGUGUGAUGGUUGGAAAGUUUUUUCGGUGUAGGAUGAGCUCGCUGCCUAUCAGCUUGUUAGGGGGGUAAUGGCCUACCAAGGCGGCGACGGGUAGCCGGCCUGAGAGGGUGGACGGCAACAUUGGGACUGAGGGACGGCCCAGACUCCGAAGGGAGGCAGAAGGGGGGAAGCUUGAAGAAGGGGCGCAAGGCGGAUGCAGCGACGCCGCGUGGGGGAUGACGGUCUUAGGGUUGUAAACUACUUUCGCAAGGGACGAAGCUUUUUGUGACGGUACCUAGACAAGAAGCACCGGCUAACUACGUG
rnacentral:rRNA from 1 species